rnacentral:rRNA from 1 species
GACGAACGCUGGCGGCGUGCUUAACACAUGCAAGUCGAACGGUAAGGCCCUUCGGGGUACGACGAGUGGCGAACGGGUGGAGUAACACGUGGGUGGAUCUGCCCUGCACUUCGGGAUAAGCCUGGGAAACUGGGUCUAAUACCGGAUAGGACCAUGGACUUCACGGUUUGUGGUGGAAAGCUUUUGCGGUGUGGGAUGGGCCCGCGGCCUAUCAGCUUGUUGGUGGGGUAAUGGCCUACCAAGGCGACGACGGGUAGCCGGCCUGAGAGGGUGUCCGGCCACACUGGGACUGAGAUACGGCCCAGACUCCUACGGGAGGCAGCAGUGGGGGAAUAUUGCACAAUGGGGCGCAAGCCUGAUGCAGCGACGCCGCGUGAGGGAUGACGGCCUCGGUUGUUAA